AUACGGAGGGUCCAAGCGUUAUCCGGAUUCAUUGGGUUUAAAGGGUCCGCAGGCGGGAAAAUAAGUCAGUGGUGAAAGCCUACAGCUCAACUGUAGAACUGCCAUUGAAACUGUUUUUCUUGAGUAUAGAUGAAGUGGGCGGAAUAUAUCAUGUAGCGGUGAAAUGCAUAGAUAUGAUAUAGAACACCGAUUGCGAAGGCAGCUCACUAAACUAUUACUGACGCUCAGGGACGAAAGCGUGGGGAGCGAACAGGAUUAGAUACCCGGGUAGUCC
rnacentral:rRNA from 1 species